rnacentral:misc_RNA from 1 species
UUCUAGCCCUGAUAGCAGCGGUUACCCCACAGCAAGGACUGGGAGAGUUUUAGGGUUUAGGUUUGGAAGAGCGUAGGCGCGAGGAGUAUAAGCGAAUAGCCGGAUUAAGC